AACGAACGCUGGCGGCAGGCUUAACACAUGCAAGUCGAACGGGUGUAGCAAUACAUCAGUGGCAGACGGGUGAGUAACACGUGGGAACCUUCCUCGUUGUACGGAACAACUCAGGGAAACUUGAGCUAAUACCGUAUACGUCCGAGAGUAGAAAGAUUUAUCGCAAUGAGACGGGCCCGCGUCGGAUUAGCUAGUUGGUAAGGUAACGGCUUACCAAGGCGACGAUCCGUAGCUGAUCUGAGAGGAUGAUCAGCCACACCGGGACUGAGACACGGCCCAGACUCCUACGGGAGGCAGCAGUGGGGAAUCUUGGACAAUGGGCGCAAGCCUGAUCCAGCCAUGCCGCGUGAGUGAAGAAGGCCUUCGGGUUGUAAAGCUCUUUUGUCAGGGACGAUAAUGACGGUACCUGAAGAAUAAGCCCCGGUAAACUUCGUGCCAGCCGCCGCAGUAA
rnacentral:rRNA from 1 species